rnacentral:rRNA from 1 species
UUUAGGGUGUUCAGGCAGGCAGAUUCAUUUUCUGCCACCGAAUACAUUAGCAUGGGAUAAUGGAAUAGGACCCUGUCCUCCUAUUUUCAGUGGGUUUUGGCAGCGCGAGGACUAGGGUAAUGAUUAAUAGGGCUAGUUGGGGGCAUUAAUAUUUAAUUGUCAGAGGUGAAAUUCUUGGAUUUAUGAAAGAUGAACUUCUGCGAAAGCAUCUGCCAAGGAUGGUUUCAGUAAUGGGGAACG